AUCUGAUAUGACACUUCAUCAAAGACAAGCGGCUCUGGAAGGUCUUCCAAUAUUUCUUCGUGAAAAUUCAAAGGAGCUUUUCCAGACAUGCAAGGAAACCAAUUCAGAAGACAAGCAGACCAAAGGAAUCCAGAUGGGUGUCCUUGCUGUGCUUGAGGAUGAUGACGCGCCUAACGCACACACAGCAAAUGCCAAAGUGUUAAAAUCCCAGAGUAUUCAUGACCAGAGUAGAUUUUAUACACUUUGGUGUUGAAUAGGCACCAAGUACAUUUUUUGGGGUGUACCAGAAACACUCUUGGGUGUUGUCUCUAAGUAUAAUGCUGGUGUAGAGUAAUUUAAGUGUUUAUUUUAGAAUGAUGGACUCCCUGAGUGUCCAACGGUUGAUUGAAACUUUCCCGGCCGCACAUCGGUUUAGGUUUCGAUUCGUCGUUGGGUCGCUGCGCCUUCUCAUUGGUUGAAUCUAGAGACAUGUGACCGUCUGUCCUCUUCCACACUACGCGGCAAACUGUUUCGGCAGAGACGGUUGACUAGAGAGGAUCGAAUCAAUAUCGCCAAGGAAUUGCUCCGAGUGAGCAAAGACAUUUUUGAACUUCACGGGAAUGUAAACAGGUUGGGAUAGUGACAUGGCCUCACUUCCCCUGCUGGUCUACCUCCUGCCACCACCUCCAAGUGGAAAGAAGGGAGUUGUCAAAAUCAGUAUCCGGGAAGCUGUGGAUCGUGUAGUGAAGUUUCACAAGGUAAUUGUACCCUGAUAAUUUUUUUAUUUUCUUUAAAGGUCCCAUGGCAUGCCGCCAGAGCUUGUGUGUUGCUGAUGGAUGUCACAAUCUCUGUGUUUGUCAAUCUACUCAUCGAGUCUUAAACAAAAUGGCGUUGACGGGUGAUCUACUGAUGGUAUUGUGUGUAUAAAAUGUACUUUUUAAUAAACAAUCUGUACACUUACAAAGUUCUCAAUGCCUCGUUUUAUAUGUUAAUACCCUUAUGUACUACCAAAGAAGUGUCGGGC
ensembl:lncRNA